GAUUAGAUUCUUCUCCAUAGCUUGCAUUUGCUCCACCUGCUCUAUGUUUGACUCUUUUUCAUGCUGAAAUGUAACGCUACAUUUAAAAAAAUUCAAAAAAUAAUCAGAGCCUACUUCUUAGCAACUAUAUGGUGGUGGAAAACACCACAAAUGAAAUAUGAAACAAAGAGAUCUUGAGGUAAGCAACAUGAUUAUUUUGCUUGCUUGAACAUUUGCAUAACUUAUGACUCUGGGCUCAUAGAAUAAUUUUUUGAUAAUCAAUAUAUAAAUCUGGUGCUAUCCAGGCUUAUUACAACUAUUUCCAUCUAUUGAUUACUUAAAACAGCAUGCCACAUUAAAGCUGGAGCAUGGGGCAAUAAUAACAAAUGACAUAUUCAACAUGGCAGUUUUAUUAACAGUUACCAAGCAGUUUUAUAAUUCAGAUGAACAAUAGAGAAAAUAAAUCAUAUUUAAAAGUUAUGGAGCUCUUGCAAGAAUUUGAAUAACCAAAUGUAGUUACCAAGUCCUGUGGUAUUUUUUAGGACAAACACCAUCAUAUUAAUAACAAAACAUUUUACCACAAUAACAUUGAAUAUUGCAGCAAAAUGUUUUCAAUAUAAUAACUUACUGAAGGGUUCCAAACACCAAGCAACAAAAUGAAACAACAAGAUAACAGAGUGUAAUACCUAAUCUUUAGCCGGCAUAAACAAAGUCCAGUGUUUUUUACAAAUCCAGAACAAAACAAGUUGGCCCAGAAUACAAGGCCCAAAAUACAAGAACAGUGGCCCAAAUCCACUGGCCCAAAAACAGUCAGAAACCCUAGGGUUUUAGGGGUGAACUCGCGCUGCACGGCCGCCUCGCACUCCUCACGCAACCAAGAGCCGAAUCUUCACCUGCAAGGAAUAAACGCAAGAAAGGAAAUAAAAUCAAAUAUUUGCAAGAUCAAAUCAAUAUGGACAGAUUUAUUUCCUUAUAUUUUUUCAUUACGGCUAUAAAAUAGCCCUGGACAUACUGUAGUAUGGAUCCGAAAAAUCAAAUAAAAAAGGGAGAUUAUUUUCACAGCAAAAACUGAGUUCAACAUUGAGAGCAAAAAUCAACCCGAAAAGGUUAACAUCUACAAUUUUAUUUAUUUAUUUUUUAAAUCUACCGACGUUAUUACCUUUUUUUACCUAUAUUUGAAUAAAACGAGUAAAAGGAAGACAGAAACAACCUGUAUUGGUGUCCGGAGCGCCGUGGAUGGCCGACGUAUUGGGUUGCGGUUUCGUCAUAAAUCUUAAACAAUUGAAUAUUCUUUUAAAAUUUAUCACACAAAUCUUUUGGACAAACUCAUCUUGAAGAAAUAAAAUAUCGUGCCCUAAUGUAUUGGGUGUGAUGUUUUCUGUUUCAAAAUGAGGGAGUCCUAAUAAAUAAUUUAAUUUAAUUAAGGAUCAUAUUUUUAACUCUCGAUGUUAAGACAUUAAUUCAUCAAUUUGGUACCAAUUUUUGGGCGUUACGAGGGUGCUAAUCCUUCAUCAAAUGUAACUGACUCCUGAACCCAUUUUUCUAAAGACUUAUAGACCAAAGUCAUUUUAGGUUAUCAAAUCACACCUUAAUAAAAGAUUGGUGGCGACUCCAAAUUUUCAUCGACAACUAAAUUUUUGUUUUUUUUUCAAACAUAAAAAUGGUUUCCACAGCUUGGUGACUCCGCUAGGGACUUUUUUUUUAAAUAAUAGAGUCGAGCCACAAAGUUGAUUAAUUUUUGUUUUAGGGUCGAGAAAAUAUUUUUUAAAAAAAUUUCAUGAUAUCCUUUUGCAUUCAUUAUAUUCUUGCUUAAUUGAUCUAAGUUAUUUUUGCAUUAUACAUUACAUGAGUUGAAUGAUUUUACCCUUCUAAGUGGGAGUGAGAAACUAUUCCUUCGUGAGGUUUUCACCUCCGUAUAAGAUAGUUGAUCGCUUUCAGGAUACAUCUAUACCUAUGCUUUCAUGAGAUUUUUAUCUCCAUAUAGUCAUAGAGAAAAUGUAUUCCCCUGAACCGAACUUGAUCUAUAUGAGCCUAUAAUGGGUGAAGAUUAAGGAAUCUGCUGGUUCGAGUACCUUUGCCCUAGAAGCCGAACCUCAUAUAAUGAACUUUAGGAAUCCAUCCUAGGUAAAGCUACACUAAACCCUAGUAGAUACCUGAAUAGGUGUUUUCACUAUUUCUUGAUUAUAUUCUAUGUUUAUAUGAUACUGACUUUUCGUGUUUUAUUUUGAUUGCAUGUCAUGGCAUUUCAUUUCAUUAUAAAAGGCGUCAGUUCAUAUUCAGUUGCUAGAUAGAAAGCUUAUCAUGGAAAAAGGGUUUUUUGAUAAAGUGGAGGAUAAUGCGGCUGUCUGAACUUGGUCUGAAACAACACAGUAAGAAAAAUGUGAUUGUUUGGCUGACAGGUAUGUAUCAGAAUUAUGAGACUUUACGCCCAUCAGUGUAACUCAAAACAAUUUGCAAGAAUUGAAGGAAAUCUGAGAUCAGUGGAAUGACGAGGUUAGACAGUUAUUUUAUAAUAAUUAUGGGGAUUUGCCUUAUUUGCUUGAUGUGAAGGUAGACAAGCAUUUGUUUCGAGCCCUCGCCUAGUUUUGGAAUCCUGCUUACAGCUGCUUUACAUUUGGGAAGGUCAAUUUGGUGCCUACGAUAGAAGAAUAUGUGGCUUUACUCCGAUGUUCAAAGUUUCAAGUGGACAGGGUCUACUCGAGAGUGGUAAAUGUACCAACCUUUUCAAAGAAGCUGAUGAGUAUAACAGGGAUGAGUGAGCAGUGGGUUGCUGCACGAAUUAAGCAAAAGUGGGAUAAUAAGUGCGUUCCUUGGAGAAGUUUAAAAGAUGCAAUUCUAACGCACCCAGACGUGAGGAAGAGGCUAGAUGUAUUUGCUUUAAGUAUAUAUGGCUUGGUUGUCUUCCCCAAAGCCUUGGGGCAUGUGGAUGAAGCAAUCACCGAUUUAUUCGACCGGCUUGAUAAGAAAGUUACACAGAUUCCGACAAUUUUGGCAGAAACCUUCAGGUCAUUGAGUGCAUGCCGAAAAGCAGGUGAGGGUAGAUUUAUUGGAUGUGCAUAGCUUCCACUCGCAUGGUUUCACAGUCACUUUUGGAAAGUUGAUCGGGUUUUCUAUAGGGUUUUCUCUGAAAAUUACUCGCCACUAAAAGAGAUAGUAGCCACACCGAGUAGUGACGACAUUUCGAAGGAGAAGUGGAUGGCAAUUCUUCAGAAUCUUCAAGAGGAAGAUGUCGAGUGGAGGGCUCCAUGGUUGCUUCCAGAUGAGAUCCUGUAUAGGUGCGGUAAUUUCGAUUGGGUUCCACUGCUUGGAAUUUGGGGAGCUAUUGGAUAUGCCACAUUAUUGGUGCUAAGGCAGUAUAGGCCAAGGCAAUUUAUACCUGUAGGCCAAGGCAAUUUAUACCUGUAACCCAAGGUAUAGCUGAUUGUGAAUUUUCGUACAGAGAUGACGGUUAUAGAAAGAAAAUUCAAGAGAUGUCUAGUGCGUGAAAAAAGACUCGCCGAAUGAAGAGGUUAGCUGUGGGUCCGAUGACAACUCCUGAGUAUAAUGAAUGGUGGGGUAGGACUAUCAACGACAAUAUACCCAAGGUAAGUCAGGAAAACGGCCAGUCAAUAGAGGAGCAUUUGUGAGUCAUCCCUUCUGAGUUGGAAAUUAUAAGACAAGAUUUUGAAACAAGAAAUGCAGAUUUAGAAAAGAAGAUAGAGAAAAUGGAGGAAGAAAAGACGAACUUGAGAUUAGACAUAGACGUUCAGAAGCUCGAAACUGAGAAAUUAAGGAAAGAGAAAAACAAGGCUGAGGAGGAGUUGGAUAGUCUUAAGAUGGAUGAUAAAAAGUUGCGUCUGUCAAUGAGAACUGCCAGGCUGGGAAAAACUUCAGCCGAUAGAUGAGAACAAAAAUUCCAAGAAAUUAGAUGCGAAAAGAGGCCUUAGAAAGGAGUUUGUCAGAUAGCCAAAGAGAAAAAGGUGAAUUAAAAGAUAGGGUGACCGAGUUGGAAAGAUCUCUUCGUCAGUUUCGAAAUCGAAAUUCCGUAAUAGAGUUGAAAGUAAGCUUGAGCAAGAUUGAGGAAAUGAAGAAAAGAAUCGAAGAGUUAGAAACGGCGUUGCAAAAUUGUGAGAUCUAGAUCAAGUACUUGAAAGCAAAUGAAAGUCGUAAUAAUGAACAGCUCCACUACUUUCAAAGUCAAGUUAGGAGCAGAGAUCAUCUUAUGGAGGAAGUUGUGGUCCAGAUUCGAGAAGUAGCUGAUCACAUACAGACUUUAGCAGUACAGGCUGACAUCCUGAGUGUGAAGUAUGAAUUAGAAUCCGAUCGGGGGCAAAAAUUAGCUUUGUUACUUAGAAAGAUUAGGGUUCUGGGUACUAGGGCAAAGUCUUAUUUGUAAUUCACUUUAUGUAAAGAAAUUUAAUUUCUAGUAAAGUUUUCUUAAAUGGAAUUGAAGCAAAAUUGAUGCCUUUUUUGCAUUCAUUUUAUGCAUUGCAUUUGCUUCAUUUACAUUAAAAAAUAUUAAAAGAUUCUAAUUAAUUUAAAUCACUCCUCAGUUAAUCUGGAAACCAACCAACCUACCAAACACCGCUACGGUACUCGAUAAAAAACUAAGGACAUGGACCAGAGGAUGGAAAGGCUAGAACAGUUCCAAAAGGAGAUGCAGGAUCAACUUCAACAACAAAUGAAUGAACAACUUGAGAAAAUUCAGCAAAAAAUGAUGGACAAAAUGAUGGAAUCUCAAGGGAGUAUGAUGGCUGAAUUAACUAAGUUGUUAACUGGAGGAAUUGAUAAAGGAAAGGGCUCUGUUCUCAAUAUUGAAGAAGGAGACAGUGAGGAACCUGUUUAUCCCCCAGGCUUUACCCCUCAGCACGUUGAGGUUUAUCCACGCAAAUCCUCUGUCACCAUGAAGCCUCAACAGUUUCAGGCCGGUGCUGUAACACCAAUGAAUUUUCAGGCUGGAUCAGGCUCUAAUCCCGGAUACAACCUUGUCAAUCCUGCUAUUCCUGACUUCGAUGAAACAACUGGAAGAGAUAAAAUGAAGGAGGAAUUGCCAAAACAGUUAGAAGAGAAGUAUAAAUGGCUGAAAGAAAAAUUUAGAGCGAUGGAAAGUACUGAGAGCUACCCUGGGAUUGAUGCUAAAGAAUUAAGCUUGGUUCUGGAUUUAGUACUCCCUUACAAAUUCAAAAUGCCUGAGUUUGAGAAGUAUAAUGGAACUAGUAGCCUCGAAGCUCAUAUUACCAUGUUUUGUAGGCGGAUGACUGGGUAUGUUAAUAACGACUAGCUACUGAUACAUUGUUUCCAGGAUAGCCUCACGGGGGCAGCAGCCAAGUGGUACAAUCAACUGAGUCGUACCAAGAUUAAUUCAUGGAGGGAUUUAGCACAAGCAUUCAUAAAGCAAUACAAUCACGUAACUGACAUGGUACCUAAUAGAAUCACUCUACGAAACAUAGAAAAGAAGCCCAGUGAAAGUUUUAGGCAAUACGCACAGAGGUGGAGGGAAGUUGCUGUCCAAGUUCAGCCAUCUCUUCUAGAAAGAGAGAUGACCAUGCUUUUCGCUAACACGUUGAAGGCCCCAUUUAUCACACAUAUGUUAGGAAGUGCCACAAAAAGCUUUUCUGACAUAGUUAUGAAUGGCGAAAUGAUAGAAAAUGCUAUCAGAAGUGGGAAGAUUGAUGCUGGAGAAAGUAGCAGAAAGUCGGCCUCGAAGAAGAAGGAAAAUGAGGUCAAUAACACCAGUUCAUAUAGUAAGGGAUAUUCAAAGAAGAUUACGGUGAAUCAACAUGGAAAAGUGGCUGUUAACCAACAAGGAUCAUCAAAACAGGGAUCUGACACAAGACAAAACACGGAGAAGCUUCAAUUUACGCCAAUUCCAAUGUCGUAUAGGGAGCUGUAUCAGAAUCUAUUCAAUGCACACAUGGUUUCCCCUUACUACUUGAAACCUCUACAGCCUCCGUACCUCAAGUGGUACGAUACAAACGUAAGAUGCGAUUAUCACGCGGGAAUCGUAGGGCAUUCCAUAGAACAUUGUACGACAUUCAAAAAGCUGGUUGAAAGACUCAUAGGCAGGGGCGUUGUUAAUUUGGAUGAUUCGCCUAAUACAAAGAAUCCUUUACCUGAUUAUAAUGGAGUGAGCAUGAUAGGUGGGAACAUGGGUAGAAAAAUCAAGGAAGAUAUUGCAGAAGUGAAAAUUCCUUUAAGAUGGGUCUGGAAGAAGAUGAUAGAAAGGGGGUUAUUUGUUUUGGAUUCACAGAAAAGCUUUGAAGGGGUGGAAAACUACUGUGAGUUCCAUCAUGAGGAGGGACAUGAGAUUCAAGAAUGUACAAAAUUCAGAGUCUUGGUUCAAGACAUGAUGGAUGACAAGGAAAUGGAGUUUUACGAAGAAGUUAAGGAGGAAGGGAGUAUCUGCACAUCCGAAUCCAUGAAGGUUCCAAGAGUAGCGCAGCCUGUGGUCAUCAUCUUGCGACCAAAGAAUGAUGAAGUGAGAAUGCCAGUAAUCAUAAUAAAGAAACCUGUAACCUUUUCUUACCAAGAUAGUAGGAAGGUUUCGUGGAACUACGAGUGCAAUACAACUGUCCCUGGAAAGGAGACUACAAAGGACCAGGGUGUGAGUGCCGAUCCAGUACCUGUGAAAGGAAGGGCCGUAACAAUGGAACAAAAAGCUGAGCCUGUGUUAUCUGUCAAUAGGCCAGUGAAAGAGGAAGAAGUUGUGGAAUUCCUCAAAAUUUUGAAGCAUAGUGAGUAUAAUGUCGUCGAAUAGUUGCAUAAACAACUGGCUCGUAUAGUUGUACUAGCCUUACUCUUGAAUUCAGAAGUGCACCGAAGUUCGUUGAUGAAGGUGCUGAACGAGACCUAUGUGGCCAAUGAUAUUUCUGUCGGCAAAUUAGAUCGGUUGGUCAAUAAUAUCAGUGCUGAUAAUUUUAUAUUCUUCAACGAUGAUGAGAUACCACCUGGGGGCAUGGGGUCUACUAAGGCUUUGCAUAUCACUACACGAUGCAAGGGGUAUACUUUGCCAUGUGUGUUAAUUGACAAUGGAUCAGCUUUGAACGUGUUACCAUUAUCCACACUUAACAGGCUUCCCAUAGACAUCUCGCACAUGAAAUCAUGCCAAAACAUAGUGAGGGCGUUUGAUGGUACAGAAAGAAAGGUCAUGAGAAGAAUUGAGAUACCCUUAUUGAUUAGCCCAACAGUUUAUGAGGUGGAUUUUCUUGUGAUGGACAUUAAACCCUCCUACAAUUGCUUAUUGGGGAGACUAUGGAUACAUUCGGCGGGGGCUGUGCCAUCAUCAUUGCAUCAGAAGCUAAAGCUAGUAUCAGAAGGUCGACUGGUGACAAUAAAUGCCAAAGAGGAUAUUAUAGCAGUUGUAUCCAAUGAGGCGCCAUACGUAGAGAUUAAUGACGAGUCGGUGGAAUGUUCUUUUUAAUCUCUGGCAUUUGUAAAUGCAACAUUUAUUCCUGAAGGGAGCAAGAUUCUGGUGCUUAAGAUUUCCAAAACUACAGAGAUUGGUUUGCAACUGUUGGUGGGGAAAAGAGCUUUACCUAGAAGAGGAUUAGGAAAAUAUCUUCAAGGGAAAACUGAGAUUCCAGUGCUAAAAGAGAAACAAGACAACUUUGGCUUAGGGUACAAGCCAGAUAGAGGAUAGAGAAAGAAUGAGUUAGAAAGAAGGCAGGAAAGAAAAAGGGCGCAUUUAGGUGGGGAGAAAAUCAAAUGGGAGCCAAUGAUAAUUCCCCACAUAUCCAAAACCUUCAUAUCUGGAAGGAUCAUUCAUUCUGAGAGAAGGAUAUCAAUUGAGGAAAGCAUCGAAGAGACGUUAGAAAACAUGCACAUCAAUGCCAUAAAUGAGGAUGCAAAUGAAGGAGGGAGUUUGUUAGACAUUUGUCUUUAUGAACCUGGGAGUGUUCUAGAUAAUUGGACUGCAGAAGAAAUAUCUGAAGUCUUUAGAACUGUCUCAGAGUAAUAUUCAGAACAAACUUGUUGUUUUAGCCUAGAAAUAAUAAGAACUCUUUUAUGGAAAAGGCUUAUGUUCAAAUAUCAUUAUUUUAAUAAAAUACAACUCUUUCGAGCAAAUAUUAUUUUAUUCUUUCCAUACGAGUAAAUAUAUUAAAUUAUUCUUUCAUUUAUAAGCAUAUUGCACAAAUAAUUGUACAUAAAUUCAUACAUUCUUUUGUAACCAUAUUAGGUCCUUGUAUAUCAAUGACAUGAAUGACGCUGCUACAAACUCAGAGUUUCCUCUUGAACGAAACAUGUGUUUAGAAGAAUCACAGGACUUUGAAGGUGACGUAGAUGGUGGUUUAUCUUUGGACUUGUUGAGAAUGGUAGAAUAAGAAGAAAAACAAAUUCUACCUCACAAGGAAGCAAUAGAAGUUGUGAGCUUGGAAGAAAGGAAAGAGGUGAAAAUUGGAACUGAGAUUUCUGCAAAGACAAGAUGAGACCUCAUUGAAUUACUCCAAGAAUUCAAAGAUGUCUUCGCAUGGUCAUACCAAGAUAUGCCCGAGUUAAGCACUGACAUUGUAGUGCAUCGCCUACCUAUAAGGGAGGAUUUUAAGCCGGUUCAACAGAAGUUAAGAAGAAUGAGGCCCGAUAUUAUGCUUAAAAUAAAAAGAGUAAGUCAAGAAGCAGUUUGAUGCUGGGUUUUUACAGGAGGUCAAAUAUUCUGAAUGGGUAGCCAACAUCGUACCAAGCCCUAAAAAAGAUGGAAAUGUGCGAAUGUGCAUGGAUUACAGAGAUUUGAACAAAGCUAACCCAAAAGACAAUUUCCCAUUGCCACAUAUCGAUACUUUGGUGGAUAAUAUGGCGGGAUAUUCACUGUUUUUCUUCAUGGAUGGUUUCUCAGGAUACAAUCAGAUAAAGAUGCACCCUGAAGAUAUGGGAAAGACUACAUUCAUUACUUUGUGGGGAACAUUUUGCUACAAAGUAAUGCCGUUCAGAUUAAAGAAUGCGGGAGCAACAUAUCAGAGAGCCAAGGUAGCCUUGUUCCACGACAUGAUGCACAAAGAGAUUGAGGUUUACGUUGAUGAUAUGAUUGCCAAAUCCAGAACAGAGGAGAAGCAUGUGCAGGUCUUGAGAAAAUUAUUCUUAAGACUAAGAAAGCUUCAGCUCAAACUCAAUCCAACAAAAUGCACUUUUGGGGCCAGGUCAGGAAAGUUGAAUGGCUUCGUAGUCAAUAAAAAAGGAAUUGAGAUUGACCCAGACAAAGUCAAGGCAAUACGAGAUUUACCGCCACCACGUACUCAGAAAGAGGUUCGAGGUUUCUUAGGACGACUGAAUUAUAUUACUCGGUUAAUUUCACAAUUGACAGAGAAAUGUGACCCCAUAUUUCAUCUUCUGAAGAAACAUAAUCCAGGUGUUUGGAAUGAAGAAUGCCAGGAAGCUUUUGAAAAGAUAAAGCAAUACCUAUCCAAUACUCCAGUGCUGUCACCACCUAGCCCAAAUAGACCCUUGAUUUUGUAUUUAACGGUGUUCGACAAUUCCAUGGGAUGUGUGCUAGGUCAACAUGAUACGACUGGAAAGAAGGAAAAGGCGAUAUACUAUCUCAGUAAGAAAUUCACUAAUUGUGAAAUGAGAUAUUCAUCUAUCGAAAAAUUAUGUUGUGCCUUGAUUUGGACGACAAAGAGGUUGAGGCAAUACUUACUCUAUCAUACGACUUGACUAAUUUUAAAAUUAGACCCUUUAAAGUAUAUGAUGGAGUCAACGACGUUGAAUGGGAGAAUGGCUAGAUGGCAAAUCUUGCUCUCUGAGUUCGAUAUAGUAUAUGUAAGUCAGAAGGCCAUCAAAGGGAGAGCGAUAGUAGAUUUCUUGGCUAGUGGAGCUGUAGAAUAUUAUGAACAGCUGGACUUUAACUUCUCGAAUGAAGACUUGAUGUAUGUUGCAAAUGCUGAAAAGGGUCCCCAAGAAAUCAAUCUUUGAGGUUAAACUUUAACGGGGCUUUGAAUGCGCUAGGCAAUGGGAUUGGGGCAAUCUUGGUAUCUCCAAAUGGAGAUUAUCAUCCUUUAUCCAGUAAAUUGGACUUCGAUUGCACUAAUAACAUGGCUGAGUAUGAAGCUUGCAUCAUGGGUAUCCGAGCAGCCAUAGAACAGAAAAUUAAGACAUUAGAAGUAUAUGGAGACUCAGCAUUGGUAAUAUACCAAUUAAAAGGGGAAUGUGAAACGAGAGACCCCAAGUUGAUCCGUUAUCAGAGAUUGGUUCUGGAAUUGAUUGAAGAGUUUGACAACAUUACCUUUUUUUAUCUCCCACGAGAAGAAAAUCAGAUGGCUGAUGCUCUUACUACUUUAGCCUCCAUGAUUAAAGUGAAUAAGUUAGAGGACAUGAAGCCCAUUCAAAUUAGUAUUUAUGAGAUCCCGGCCCACUGCUAUAGUAUUGAAGAAGUGGAGAAUGAUAAUCGUCCCUGGUACCAAGACAUAUUGCUAUAUGUGAAGAAUCACGAAUAUCCUGAUCAGGCAACGGAGAAUGAUAAGAGGACAUUGAGGAGACUAGCUAUUGACUAUAUUUUAGAUGGAGAGAUUCUAUACAAAAGGGGAAAUGAUCGAGUACUGUUGAGGUGCGUGGAUGCUGUAGAGGCUAAAGAAAUUUUAGAAGAAGUCCAUGAGGGUAUUUUUGGAACACACGCCAAUGGAUUCACCAUGGCUAGACAGAUCAUGAGAUUCGGAUAUUAUUGGUCCACCAUGGAAGAAGAUUGCAUCAAUUAUGCCAAGAAGUGUCAUAAAUGCCAAAUUUAUGGGGAUAAAAUGCACAUGCCUCCUUCACCUCUUCAUGUUAUGACUUCUCCAUGGCCUUUCUAAAUGUGGGGGAUGGAUGUCAUUGGGCCAAUAUCGCUAAAGGCUUCUAACGGACAUCGUUUCAUUUUUGUGGUUAUUGACUACUUCACUAAGUGGGUAAAACAGCCUCAUAUGCUAAUGUCACGAAGUCAGCAAUCAGUAAGUUUUUGAAGAAAGAGAUCAUAUGUCGAUAUGGAAUGCCUGAAAGGAUCAUAUCUGACAAUGCGCUAAAUUUGAAUAACAGCACAAUAGCGAAAGUCUGCAACCAGUUCAAUAUUAGACACCAUAAUUCAUCACCGUAUCGUCAAAAAAUGAAUGGUGCAAUGGAGGCGGCCAACAAAAAUAUCAAGAAAAUUGUAGCGAAAAUGGCUGAAACUUACAAGGAUUGGCAUGAGAAGUUACCAUUCGCUCUUCUUGCUUACCGAACAUCUAUCAGGACUUCUACUAGAGCAACACCUUUUUCUUUGGUUUAUGAGAUGAAAGCAGUCCUACCCAUUGAAGUUGAAAUUCCUUCCCUCCGGGUAUUGUCUGAGUUAAAUUUGGAUGAGGCUGAAUGGAUCCAAUCUCGGUAUGAUCAGUUGAACUUGAUAGAAGAAAAAAGACUAAAAGCUAUUCGUCACGGUCAAAUGUACUAGAAACGAAUGAUGCGAGCUUAUAACAAAAAGGUUUGUCCUAGAGAGUUUCGUGAGGGGGACUUGGUGUUGAAAAAGAUUCUCCCUCUACAAAAGGAUUUCAGAGGGAAAUUGAUACCAAACUAGGGAGGACCUUAUGUUGUAAAAAAAGGCUUUUUCUAGAGGUGCUUUGAUUUUGAGUGAAAUGAAUGGUAAAAAUUUACCAAAUCUUGUAAAUUCAGAUUUAGUCAAGAAAUAUUUCACUUGAAGGAAAAAAGGAAUCAAAGUGAAAACCCGCAAAUGGCGCUUUGAAUCAAAAAAAAAUGGAGAGGCCAAGGUGAAAACCCGCAAAGGGCACCUUGAGACCAAAGGGAAUUUGAGUUGAUAACUAGAAAAGGGCGGCUCGAGCAUUGAUCAGAUUAGGGUAUAUGGUGAUCUUGCUAUACCUAAAUCAGCAGAAAAAGAUAUACAACAUCUUGGGGCAUCAACGGAGUACUGUAGAUCUCUUAAACAUAUGUUAAAUUCAAAAUGGUCCUUAGUUUGUACGGAGAAGUUCAAGCUGCGAUAUCCAAGGAACCUUGUCUUCAUAUUACUUUUAUCGAAUUUUUUAUUCUUGUAAUACUUCAUUAUUUGUUGUUAUUGAAUAUUUUUUCUUUUCAAGACACUUACUAUCAAUAAAUUCCUUUUCUAUUAUUCGAGUUAGGCCCUGAAUUAAUUCAUCUCUUAGUCAGUAUUUUUUUAUCUUUGUGCAAGCAUGUCGUAUUAGAAUAAUGAUUGAUUGACUAAUAAACUUUCACAAAAAGAGUUUUGCAUAUUACUCUGGGAAUUUCUAAAUAAUUUAGUAACCUGAAACAGGACUAUUGUUUAGAACGCACCAAGCUUAAAAGAUGAGAUGUUUAAGAAGGAAAAAGUCCAAAUUAAGACUGUUCUUUUGGAUUUUGUUGUCUAAAUAUUGAUUGAAUGAGAUGACAAGAAGUCUUGAUUAGUGAUAGAGCUUCAAAGGAUAGGAGGAAGCUCCCUUUAGAAAGGAAAUAUUUCAUUUGUGCAUGAGCCUUUGGUACGAUACCCUGGGAAUGGUGUAAGGGACCAGAGAGAUUUAGAUCCUGCAUCCUUGAAUUAUGAUAAUAGAAGAUUGAGAAAAGCCAAAUUUUAUUCUACCCUUGGGUCACAGUGGAAGAAAGAUGGUACAAAAUUUGCGUCCCAGUGGAUUGAACUUUGAGGUUUACAGUGGGGGCAAUCUAACUAAGUGUUUCUUUGAAGACGCCAGCUGAGCAGGAGGGCGUUGUAGCACGUCAGUGAUAAAGCCUUGAUAAAAUUUGAGCAAUGAUAACCUAAGUGAUGAAAGAGGAUCAUUCUCGAAAAAAAUGACAUUAUGCAUUCAUUCAAAUGUCAUUCAUACACGUCUAGUUAGGGGCAUUUGAUUCAUUCUGAUCAUGACAUCUUAAUCACUAGGCAUAAUUAGGUUCAUGAAUUGAAUUAUAACAGGUCAUGUUCCCCAGAGAACAAACUAGUGAAACUCUAGCCUUAUCUCCUUGAGCAGUAGUGGAAUAGGUUGAAAAUAUUAGAUCUUGCUUUCCUGUACUGGCAGUGAAGCAGAUCGAAGACACUAGUCUUUUCGCCUCGACAUUGCAAUGGCAAAGAUUGAAGUCACAACGACAACUGUUAUUUCCCUGGCGUUGUAGCGGAGCAGAUUGAAGUCACGACGGCGAAUCUUAUCUCCCUAGCGCUAAGGCUUGGCUUAGCUGAAGUGGAGUGGAUUGAAGCUAUGGGCGGCGAAUCCUAUCUCUUUGGCAUUACAGUGAACCAGAUUGAAACCACGACGGUGAAUCUUACUCCCUGGUGGUGUAGUGGAACAGAUUAAAGCUACGACGGUGAAUCUCGUUUCCCCAACAUUGCAAUUUGAAAGAUUAAAGCCGUAAUGGUGAAUCUUAUUUCCCUGGCGUUGUAGCGGAGCAGAUUAAAGCCACAACGGCAAAUCUUAUCUCCCUGGCGUUAAAGCUUAGAUUAGCUGAAGAGGAGUGGAUUGAAGCUGUGGGCAGCGAAUCCUAUCUCUUUGGCAUUACAGUGGAACAAAUUAAAGCCGCAACGGCGAAUCUUACUCCCCUGGCAGUGUAGUGGAACAGAUUGAAGCUACGACAGCAAAUCUUGUUUCCCAAACAUUGUAAUUUUGAAAAAAUUGAAGACGACAAAUCUUAUCUCCCUGAAGUUACAGUGGAGCAGAUUAAAGCCAAUAAUCCUAUCUCCCUGAUGUUGCGGUGGAGUGGAUUAAAACCACAGAUCUUAUCUCUCUGAAGGUGCAGUAGAGUAGAUCACAUCGGGUCUUAUCUCCCUGAAGUUACAGUGGAGCAGACUUAAGAAAGCAAGUCUUAUUCCCCUAAAAUUGCAGUGGGGCAGGCUAAAUAAACAAAUCCUAUCUCCCUAAAGUUGUAGUGGAGUGGAUUAGAAUGAUGGACCUUAUCUCUUUGAAAUUACGGUGGGGCAGAUCGCAUCGAAUUCAUCUUUAAAUUGCAGCAGGUCAAGUUGAAGCAAUAAGUCUUAUCUCCCUGAAGUUGCAGUGGAGCAGAGUAAAGAUGACAAAAUUUUGAAAAACUAGAACGUACAAACCCUAUCUCCUUGAUAUUGCAGUGGAGUGGACUGAAGCACUAGUUCCUAUGCUUCUGAAGAUGCAGUAGGAAGGAAUGAGGCUACUUGAAGAAGAAGAGUACCAAAGUCUAGCACGACCGGGAAAAGUUAGGCAUUUUUAAAGUCUUUGCUCUGUUCCCGUUACAUGAUAAUGAGCAAAGAGGGGCAGCUGUAAUACCUAAUUUUUACCGAGCAUAAACAAAGUCCAGUGUUUUUUACAAAUCCAGAACAAAACAAGUUAGCCCAGAAUACAAGGCCCAAAAUACAAGAACAGUGGCCCAAAUCCACUGGCCCAAAAACAGUCAGAAACCCUAGGGUUUCAGGGGUGAACUCGUGCUGCACGGCCGCCUCGCACUCCUUACGCAGCCAAGAGCCGAAUCUUCACCUGCAAGGAAUAAACACAAGAAAGGAAAUAAAAUCAAAUAUUUGCAAGAUCAAAUCAAUAUGGACAGAUUUAUUUCCUUAUAUUUUUUCAUUAUGGCUAUAAAAUAGCCCUGGAUAUACUGUAGUACGGAUUCGAAAAAUCAAAUAAAAAAGGGAGAUUAUUUUCACAGCAAAAACUGAGUUCAACAUUGAGAGCAAAAAUCAACCCGAAAAGGUUAACAUCUACAAUUUUAUUUAUUUAUUUUUAAAAUCUACUGUCGUUAUUACCUUUUUUUAUCCAUAUACGAACAAAAUGAGUAAAAAGAAGACAGAAACAACCUGUAUUGGUGUCCAGAGCGCCGUGGAAGGUCGAGGUAGCCGUCUCCGAGGAUAGACGGUCGGAAGCCGAAGGGUUUUUCUUGAGAUUUAGGGCUUUUUCAGUGAUAUUUUGAAGGAUCUACACCCAGAUUUGGGCUUUGAGGGGUCGGAAGGGCUGAGAGGGGCAUUUUCCCCCUUUUUCGGCCACCGCAGACGGCGGUGCCGACUUCGGAGGCUGGCGGUCGGCGUGGUGGCCGAUGACUAGCCGAUGACCGGCCGAUGACCAGGCCCUGGUCGGGCGUGCCGGGGGGGAGAGAACUUUUUUGAAGGUUUUUUUGUUUUUUUUUUAAAAGAAUGAAAAUGAAUUUUUUAACCGAAUUUUGGCUUAUAUAGCCUUUGAAAUGGCGUCGUUUCAUUAGGCCUCCCCAGGCGCUAAAACGACGCCGUUUUAGGGAGGCCGACCCGAAUCUGACCUGACCCAGCCCAGGAUCCACGUGUUUUUAUGCGGAGGGGUAAAUUGCGCUUUUAGCCCCUCCGCCUUUUAAUAUUUUUACAAUCAAGAUUAUUUGAGUUUUAAAAUUCGCCUUUAAUCUAUUUUCAAUUUCAAUUUGGCACCUUAUGGAACGACGCUGUUUAGAGGGAAAGGGGAAAUUACCCUUGCAGUCCCUCAAUGGUUAUUCGCGCGUUCGAUAUGGUCCUUUGGGCUUUAUUUAUUUGCGGAUUUACCCCAGAUUUUUUAAUUGCAGUUCAAUUUAGUUUUUUUCUUUUCUUUCUUAAAAUUAAUUAAUUCUAAUAAUGUAAUUAUUAUUCUUAUUUUUGUAACUUUUAUAUGUAAUAUUUUUUAAAAAAAAUCUAUAUAUAUAUAUAUGUAUAUUUGUUUUUUAUGUACAUUUAUAUUUUUUUCCUCAUAUUUAUAUAUAUACGCAUAUUUAUCUUUUUCAUUUAAUUAAUUUUGAUAAUGUAGUUAUUAUUUAAUUGUUUUUAAUAUAUUUUAUAUGUAUAUGUAUACAUAUUUUUUUGUUUUCAUAAAUGCAUUAUGUAAUAUAUAUAAGUUUUAUAACCCAAAAUUUUGCUUGUAACUCAUAUAUAUAUAUAAUCUUCAUAAUUUCCAUGUGUACAUUAUAUACCUUCUUUUCUUUAUUUAUCUUGCUUGCUUUCUUCAUUCGCUAUUUAAUUGUGCUUACAUUUAUAUUUUUUUAUUCAUUGGAUAUUUUGCAUGUCAUAGAUUAUUUUUUUUAUGUAUAUUCAUUUCGUUUAUUUAUUUGUUUAUAUUAUUUCUAUGCCAUUGUCGUAUUUGUCAUUGUGACAUUUAUACAUACAAUAUAACAUUACAUCAUCUUUUUACUCGGGUUUAAAAAUAGAAUUUUUCAAAAUAGAGAUAAUACUCGUAUUUAGGAUUUUCAAGAAAAUUGAGCCCUAACGUAUUGGGUUCCGAUUUUCUUCGUUAAAUCUAACAAUCAAGAAUUGCUCUUUGAUCAAAAAUAAAAUGAAAAAGCUUGUUGUUGGGAAUUUAAUAUGUUGUGUCCUAACGCAUUGGAUGUGACAUAUUGAUUUCUCGAGACAAAGAUUUUUUUAAAGAUAUAUAUUAAUAAAGGAAAUAUUCAAUGUUUGGGAUGUUGAGAAAUUGUGCCAUAACAUAUUGGGCUGCGGUUUCAUCAUAAAUCUUAAACAAUUGAAUAUUCUUUUAAAUUUUAUCACACAAAUCUUUUGGACGAACUCAUCUUGAAGAAAUAAAAUAUCGUGCCCUAACGUAUUGGGUGUGAUGUUUUCUGUUUCAAAAUGAGGGAGUCCUAAUAAAUAAUUUAAUUUAAUUAAGGAUCAUAUUUUUAACUCUCGACGUUAAGACAUUAAUUCAUCAAUUUGGUACCAAUUUUUGGGCGUUACGAGGGUGUUAAUCCUUCCUCGAACGUAACUGACUCCCAAACCUGUUUUUCUAAAAACUCAUAGACCAAAGUUGUUUUAGGUUAUCGAAUCACACCUUAAUAAAAGAUUGGUGGCGACUCUAAAUUUUCAUCGACAACUAAAUUUUUGUUUUUUUUUUCAAAAAUAAAAAUGGUUUCGACAAGAAAGAAGCACACGAAAGUUUUUAACAAAGGAAACACUCCUAUUGCACAAGAUUUAUUUCUUCAGCAAUUCAUUAAAAUUCUAGGGUAACAAAUGAAGAUACAGGGGAGAAGGACUUUGAGAUUUGAUAAGACAGAUUCUAGAGUUCCAAAACAUUUUAAGAAAAGAAAGCUACUGCAUUUCUCAAGAAAACGCAAAAAUAGACGAUGCUGAUAUAUAAUGAUAUUGAAAAAUACUUACAAGAAUUGGGAAACACAGGUUUUACACCCUAAGAACAAAAAAGAGAUACAAAAAGCAUACAUAGGAUACAAAAAGGUUGGCUGGAAGCAGAGUAUAGAAUAGUAGUGACCAAAAUACAUCUCUCUAACAAAAUCAAAGAAUCAAUAUAAUCAGUUUUUAGGGCGUCAUAAACAACUCAAAAUAAACAAACCAAGGUACCUUCUCCUGGGUGCCUUUUAAGCUUUUAAGCACUGGAGGGUUGCCUCAAAGCAGUAGCAGCUAUCUUGAAUGAAAAAUCAAAUUAGACUUCCCAGAGAUCAAACCAUUCUGAUAAGAUAGAAAAAAAGAAGCAAAGCAACAAAAGAAAACAGAGCAGAGCAAAGCAGAAUAGAGAAAGAGGCACAAAAGCUAGAAAUUUCGCUCUUUCAAAGCCAUUUUUUUUACUUACCUGCGGAAGAGGAAAUAAUUAAAGAGAAGAAGAAGAAAAGAAACUCUCACCAACGGAAGAGGAACAAAGAAUAGGAAAGAGCUUUGAAAGCUGAAAAUGUGAAAACAAAACGUUUUUGGAAAGAACCAGCAGAGGGGAAAGAACGUUUGUGGGAGAAGACAGGUUAAUUUGGUCAAUUUUCAGCCAAAAACACUUCAAGUUGAAGAAAAGGAGAAAUUUUUAGCUUCUCCAUCUGGAGAAAAGCCCUUUUUUGAUGGUGAAAUUUUUACGUGAAAGGAGGGCGUUCUUCAUUCCUUUUAAGAGAAAAGGACUUUUUAUUGAAAAAGUCCUUCUAAAACGUGUAGAAGAACGAGAUCUAAG
rnacentral:lncRNA from 1 species